AACGAACGCUGGCGGCAUGCCUAACACAUGCAAGUCGAACGAUACCGGCUGGUCCUUUUACGCACUGGUUCGUAACCCAACGGAAGCGUCCCUUAUGGGGGGAAUAACUUCCCGCAAGGGGUGCUAUUAGGGGAUAAUUGCUUCUGCCCAAUGAUUUAUUGCCUUAGGAGGGGCCCGCUUUGGAUUAGCUAUUUGGUAAGUUAAAGGACUACCAAGGCGACGUUACAUAGCUGGUAUGAUAGGAGGAUCAGCCACCCUGGGACUGUGACACGGAGCAGACUCUUACGGGAGGAAGCAGUGGGGACUAUUGAACACUGGGCGAAAGACUGAUGCAGCAAUGCCGCGUGAGUGAUGAAGGACUUAGGGUUGUAAAGCUGUUUUAACAGCGAAGCAAAUGACAGUAACGAGCGAAUAAGCUACGGCUAACUACGUG
rnacentral:rRNA from 1 species